rnacentral:sRNA from 1 species
UUGUAAUUUGUAGAGGAUGCUUUUGGCGAGGUGACUUCCGAGUUCCCUGGAACGGGACGCCAUAGAGGGUGAGAGCCCCGUACGGUCGUGCCACCGAGCCUCUGUAAAGCUCCUUCGACGAGUCGAGUAGUUUGGGAAUGCUGCUCUAAAUGGGAGGUGUACGUCUUCUAAAGCUAAAUACCGGCCAGAGACCGAUAGCGCACAAGUAGAGUGAUCGAAAGAUGAAAAGCACUUUGAAAAGAGGGUUAAAAAGUACGUGAAAUUGUUGAAAGGGAAGCAUUCAUGACCAGACUUGGGCUUGGUUGAACAUCCGGCGUUCUCGCCGGUGCACUCUGCCAGCUCAGGCCAGCAUCAGUUUGCCCCGGGGGACAAAGGCGGCGGGAAUGUGGCUCCCUACGGGGAGUGUUAUAGCCCGUCGUGUAAUGCCCUGGGGUGGACUGAGGUUCGCGCUUCGGCACGGA